ACGAAGCAUUUGCGACAGAUUUUUUCGGAAUGAAGUUGCUUAUGACUGAGUGGCGGACGGGUGAGUAACGCGUGGGUAACCCGCCUUGUACUGGGGGAUAGCAGCUGGAAACGGCUGGUAAUACCGCAUAAGCGCACAAUGUUGCAUGACAUGGUGUGAAAAACUCCGGUGGUAUAAGAUGGACCCGCGUCUGAUUAGCUAGUUGGUGAGAUAACAGCCCACCAAGGCGACGAUCAGUAGCCGACCUGAGAGGGUGACCGGCCACAUUGGGACUGAGACACGGCCCAGACUCCUACGGGAGGCAGCAGUGGGGAAUAUUGCACAAUGGAGGAAACUCUGAUGCAGCGACGCCGCGUGAGUGAAGAAGUAAUUCGUUAUGUAAAGCUCUAUCAGCAGGGAAGAUAGUGACGGUACCUGACUAAGAAGCUCCGGCUAAAUACGUGCCAGCAGCCGCGGUAAUACGUAUGGAGCAAGCGUUAUCCGGAUUUACUGGGUGUAAAGGGAGUGUAGGUGGCCAUGCAAGUCAGAAGUGAAAAUCCGGGGCUCAACCCCGGAACUGCUUUUGAAACUGUAAGGCUAGAGUGCAGGAGGGGUGAGUGGAAUUCCUAGUGUAGCGGUGAAAUGCGUAGAUAUUAGGAGGAACACCAGUGGCGAAGGCGGCUCACUGGACUG
rnacentral:rRNA from 1 species